rnacentral:lncRNA from 1 species
AAAGUUGGAAAGGGAACUUGCGAAACUGAUGCAUGAAGUGAUGACGUGGCCGAACUCCCAGCCGUCGGAUGAAACCGCUUCUGAUGAUGACACCUGGUGCGAGGAUUACGCCCAGCGUAGCGAAGAGACGCCUAGCGUCCGAAGCUGGGUACGCGCAGCGUGCUUGAUCUGGUCCGGGUCCGAGAAUGGGUGCGAGCCAGCUGGUGCGAAGCUGGCAUCCUUAUCCGAGAGAACGCGCUGCGUAGCCGAGGAUUACGCCCCGCGUAGUCCGAGGCCUCGCAGCUAUAAAAAGGGGGCGAGGGUCUCCGGAUUUUUCACACUUUUUCAAACCAAUUUCUUUCUCUCUCUAAAAUUCUUUCUCUCUCUAAAGGGUUUUAACCCCCCUAAGCCCUAGUUAAACCCCUAGCACCCUAGGGAAGCCCCGAGGCUCCCGGAAUCCCGAGAAAAAGGAGUUUUUCGGUUUCGAAACGCUGCUCCAAUUAAGUCCCGGUUUUCGAUAAAAUUCGCUGUAAGUGUGCUACGCUUACGCAAUUUUUUAUAUAGCUUUCAAAUAAUUAUAGGAAUGUUAUUAGGUCCUUAAAAUAAUUAUUUGGGCUAUUAUUAUGAGUUAUAUUGAGCGUUAUUAACGCUUAAUAAUAGUCAGACUAAUUAAUUUGUCGCGGUUAUCGUUAAACUAAACCCUAGUGGUAUCGGUACUAGGUUUUAUCGAAGGAAUAUCGUUUUGAGAGUAUCGAAGCGCUGUCCGAGUGCUGAGUCACCACCUACUCAGGUGAGUGCAUAGUUACUUUCAGCUUACACAUAGAUAUGAAGUAUUUUACGUGCUGUGUGUGUAUAUUAUCGGUAUAUUUGCUAUCUAUAUUGGAAGAACGUUUUAUACAUGUUUUCAGUGAUUCAAACUGUAUAAGUAUUUUAUAUCUACAUAAUGUGCGGGGUAAAACACGGGUAGAUAUAAUAGUUGCUGUGUGACAAAAUAAAAUAAUGAGAGGCCUCGUUAUAGCUGUUCUUGAUGAUCUAGUCAUCUAGCGGAGUAUAGAUGACAACCACGGACUAUUCUAGACAGUCCAGUGGAACACUAGCAGGCUCGCAACCUGUAGGUGUUUAUUCGAACUGUGUGUUUAACCAAACUGUGUGUUUAUUCGAACUGUGUGUUUAUUCGAACUGUGUGAACUGUGUGCUCACCAGGUAUACUCCAUCCCAAUGAUAGUCCUUUGACUAGGUCCCUUGUGUUAGAUGUUUUAGGGACGUAAUGUGAGGAUAACGGGAAUGGGUAAUUGGGUUGAUUGUUUGAUGUUUAAAAAUAAUAAUUAUAUUAUUGUGGGUUGAAAACCCUAUGUACUCACCAGGUUUCCCAACCUGACCCACUCAGUUUAUUUAUAUCACAGGUGUUGAUAUGAAGUCACAUUACACAAAGAGAUUUAAAGAGAUGUAGAUCACUAGUGUAAAUAAUUGUAAGUUCUGUUUAUGCUUAUGUUUCUGUAUUAACGAUGACAUCCCAAACGUUUUAAAAUGAAAUAAAUACGUUUCUUCGAAAAUGUUUUAAUAACGUAUUUACCAUGUUUUUCUGGGAACAAAUUCCGCAACAUUUUUAUAAAAUGAAGUACUCUGAUUUUUAUAAAGCAUAAACAACAUCGGUCUUUUCUGGCCGUGAAAAUGGGGAUGUCACAGUUGGUAUCAGAGCAUUAGUUUAAGCGAACUAGGAAUAUGGAUUUAUUUCUAGACUUAAACUUAGAAUGCUAAGCGAUGAUUGUGAGGUGUGAGCACUAGCUUAUUUUAGGAAUUAUGCCUAAAAUGCUUUUAUGUGCUAAAUGCUUUGUGCAUGAUAUGUUGUUAAUUGUUCGGAUCUAUGGUCUGUUGCCGACCGGAUCUGGAAACCUUAUGUGUUUAGGAUUCUAAACGUACGACUACGGUAUUAGAACUAGCAUGUAAACGUUUCGGAGUGAUAAGGAUGAUUUAAACGUCAAUCCUAAGUAAAGGUCUAGAUUCACCUCAUUCGGUGUAUAGAUCAAGAUGGUAAGAACCCGUAGUGGAAACGUAAAUGCAAAUGGGAACAGAAACCAACCCCCAGUGAUUGAGCAAAUACCGGUGAUGGAAGCCACUGCUGAGCCAGUCACAAUGGCCGGAGUGCAAGCGAUGAUCCAAGCGAUGUUGGAUCGUCAAAUGGAGGAAACCAGGCGUUUGCUCCAGCAAAAUCGAGAGGAAGCGACCAUUCAGAUCGAACGGCCCGAGUUGAACGAGGGGCAGACUGAGGAGGGAAACUACAGUGGGACUGUUGGUCAAGCCAACCCACCAAUGGUUAAGCAAAACCACCAGGAUGGAGGAAAUGAUGGACGUGGAUGCAAAUACAAGGAUUUCAUGGCGUCCAAACCACCGAGUCUAUCUGGAAGCCCGACGCCGGUGGAAGUCAUAAACUGGAUCUCCGAGAUGGAGACGAUGUUUGAGAGUUGUGAGUGUAGCAACAGGCAAAAGACCGCUCUCGCGGUUCCUCUGUUGAAAUCUGGAGUACUAAGCUGGUGGAAGCUACUAGCUGAUUCGAUGCCCAAAGGAGAAGCGAACAAGAUGUCAUGGGAGGAUUUUCUGGUGCAGCUAAAAAUGCAGUACUGCUCUGAACAGGAUCUUCUGGAAAUCAACAACGAGUUUCAGAAUCUAAAGAAGGGAAAGAUGAGUGUCAUCGAGUAUGCUGCAAGUUUUACGGAGAAAAUGAAGCUUGUUCCUUAUCUAGUUCCAACUGAACUCUCCAAGGUCAAUAAGUUUGCCCAUGGAUUACCAGCAGACUUUGGUCCAAUGGUCAAACAAGCAACCACUUUGAAAGCCGCCAUCUGGGCAGCCAAGAAUGUUGAGACCCAAAUAAGGGAAAAGGGUCUGGAGAAAGUUGAAGUUGGUGAGAAGAGGAAGUCGGAAGGAUCCUCAAGACCUGAUAAUAAGGGAAAGUUCUCGAAGUCUAACCUGGACGACCGAAGGAAUGAAGCCAAGUGGUGUGAGAAGUGCAAGAAGAAACACUUCGGAAGAUGCGAUGGUGAAGUGACGUGCUAUAAGUGUGGUAGGACCGGUCACUAUUCCAGAGAUUGUACAUUCGAAAACAAGAAGUGCUACGAAUGUGGAAAUGAUGGGCAUAUUUCAAAGAACUGUCCAAAGAAAAACGAAGCUGCAAGACCAAAUGCACCGCCGAAACCAAGGGCAUUUCACAUGAUCCUCGACGAAGCAGAAAACCGUGCGAGGAAUCAAGGAUGAGGACUUCAUAUCCGAAGAUCAAGUUAUGCAGUAGCCAUAGUAUUGUAUGAUGUAGCCUAUUAGAGGCAUAGCCUAGGGUGAACUUGAACACCUAUGUAAUCAUUUCAAGAAAUAAUAUAAAACCUUUGUUUCGUUAUCUGAUGUGUUAAGUUGAUUCGCUGCAUGGUGACUUGGGAAACUGCGAGACAAUACUUGGGACGAGUAUGAGUAGGUGUGAAUGGUAGUAGAGGCCUAUACUACCGGAAGCACAGGACUCACACUUGGAUCAGGGAAAGUCACAAGGUUACCAAGAAGCUAGUAAUUGAUUUCGUUUUAUUCAAGUGUGUUGUUACCAUCGUUUCGGUAAUGACUAAGAAGAUUGUUGAUAUUCCGACCCUAGUGGUCAUAUCGAAUCGAGUCCGACUACGAUGAGUAUGUUGUGUGGUUCAGAGAACCAAGUUUGAUGUAGCGUCCGACUUAAACCAAACGGUUGAAAUCAAAGCGAUCAAUAGAAGUAUCGCACUCGUUGUUAAAGAAGUUGGUGGCUAGAAAUGCCUAAUGUUAAAGUGUGAUUAUAUCACAUUAGAACAUGAAGGAAGGCAUAGUCUGUUUUAGAAUUUAACUCUAAGAGACCUAAGUCUAAGUGUUGCAACAUACGAUGAUAGGUCAUUAGAAUAUGACACAUCGAUCUAUAGUAGUAAUAAAAGAACUUAUCUCAAGUCCGUAUCCAGCAAGGAUCGAGAUUGUGACUUGAAGGUCAUAAUUUGGAGUCUAACCUGAGGUAGAGAGCAGGUGCACGAUCGAGUACUCUUACAGUCAAUGAGUUUAAGAGAUAGAAUUGAAGGAAUGUAGAAGUUAUAAUUAUUACCUAGGAUGAAGAGAUGACGUAUGGAGUCAUUAUACGACCCUGUUUCGUUGAUGAUUCCGGGACGUAAUCAUCCUAAGGGGGAGAUAAUUGUAACGCCCGCAAAUCUGGGCUAGUCAAAUUAGAGGCAAUAGGGGUCGAAAACGACUUUUCGACAAAAGAUUAUUUAGAAUAAAUAAUCUUAAUCAAGUUGUAGAGUAUGUUACAAGGUUUUCGUACAUAUAAAGAACGCCGAAAACCGAGUUAUAACGAAGAAGUUAUGACCCGUUGAAGUUUCGCGACGGAACCGGCACGAUACCGGGAAGCGUAAAUAGUGAAUUUACGAUAGAGCGAGAUUUAGCCUUAGCGAUCUAAACGAAAGUCGUAGAAUAUGUUAAACUAAGAACAUCGAUAAAAAGAACGCCCAAAUCUGACUUCGUAUGAAAAAGUUAUGAUUUUUCGAAGUUUCGUACUAGCAGUGUACAGCCCGAAAUUCGAAUAUUUGAUCGAGCGGUUUUUAGCCGACACGACCUAAACGAGAAUCGAAGAUCUCGUUGAGAGUAGCGUAACGAGAAAAAGAUGGGCGAAAACGGAUGUCGGAUGAAGAAGUUAUGAGGAUUUAACGGACCAAUCGUGUCCCGGCCCGUUAAUAAUAUAAAAUUUAAAAUCGAGCCAAAAUUAGCCGACGGAGUCUAAACGAAAGUUGUAGAGUACGUUCCCACCUUCGCGUGGAUAUAAAGAACGUCGAAAACGGAGGUCGUACGCGAAAGUUAUGAAUUUUUAAAGUUGGAAAGGGAACUUGCGAAACUGAUGCAUGAAGUGAUGACGUGGCCGAACUCCCAGCCGUCGGAUGAAACCGCUUCUGAUGAUGACACCUGGUGCGAGGGUUACGCCCAGCGUAGCGAAGAGACGCCUAGCGUCCGGAGUACGCCCCGCGUCCGAAGCUGGGUACGCGCAGCGUACUUGAUCUGGUCCGGGUCCGAGAAUGGGUGCGAGCCAGCUGGUGCGAAGCUGGCAUCCUUAUCCGAGAGAACGCGCCGCGUAGCCGAGGAUUACGCCCCGCGUAGUCCGAGGCCUCGCAGCUAUAAAAAGGGGGCGAGGGUCUCCGGAUUUUUCACACUUUUUCAAACCAAUUUCUUUCUCUCUCUAAAAUUCUUUCUCUCUCUAAAGGGUUUUAACCCCCCUAAGCCUUAGUUAAACCCCUAGCACUCUAGGGAAACCCCGAGGCUCCCGGAAUCCCGAGAAAAAGGAGUUUUUCGGUUUCGAAACGCUGCUCCAAUUAAGUCCCGGUUUUCGAUAAAAUUCGCUGUAAGUGUGCUACGCUUACGCAAUUUUUUAUAUAGCUUUCAAAUAAUUAUAGGAAUGUUAUUAGGUCCUUAAAAUAAUUAUUUGGGCUAUUAUUAUGAGUUAUAUUGAGCGUUAUUAACGCUUAAUAAUAGUCAGACUAAUUAAUUUGUCGCGGUUAUCGUUAAACUAAACCCUAGUGGUAUCG